rnacentral:rRNA from 1 species
UACGAAGGGGGCUAGCGUUGCUCGGAAUUACUGGGCGUAAAGGGCGCGUAGGCGGACAGUUUAGUCAGAGGUGAAAGCCCAGGGCUCAACCUUGGAACUGCCUUUGAUACUGGCUGUCUUGAGUUCGGGAGAGGUGAGUGGAAUGCCGAGUGUAGAGGUGAAAUUCGUAGAUAUUCGGCGGAACACCAGUGGCGAAGGCGACUCACUGGCCCGAUACUGACGCUGAGGCGCGAAAGCGUGGGGAGCAAACAGG